GAUUGUUUUACCAAAUUUUAAUUGUUUUAUUAAUUUAUCGACAAUCAUUCUUAAAUGUUGUUUUUUUUUUUUA